rnacentral:misc_RNA from 1 species
GAUGAAGACGUAGUGAAAUGCGAUAAGUAAUGUGAAUUGCAGAAUUCAGUGAAUCAUCGAAUCUUUGAACGCACAUUGCGCCCGCCAGUAUUCUGGCGGGCAUGCCUGUUCGAGCGUCAUUUCAACCAUCAAGCCCCAGGCUUGUGUUGGGGACCUGCGGCUGCCGCAGGCCCUGAAAACCAGUGGCGGGCUCGCUGUCACACCGGGCGUAGUAGAUUUUAUCUCGCUCAGGGCGUGCUGCGGGUUCCGGCCGUUAAAAAGCCUUUUUUACCCAAGGUUGACCUCGGAUCAGGUAGGAAGACCCGCUGAACUUAAGCAUAUCAAUAAGCGGAGGA